AAGGAUUUAAGUUAUUAAACUAUCAACCUUCAAAGUUGAAAAUAAAGAUUAUAUUCUUUAAGCCUUA
rnacentral:tRNA from 1 species